UACGUAGGGGGCAAGCGUUGUCCGGAUUUAUUGGGCGUAAAGCGCGUGUAGGCGGCUAGGUAGGUCCGCUGUGAAAACUUGAGGCUCAACCUCAAGAGGUCGGUGGAAACCAUCUAGCUAGAGUCCGGAAGAGGAGAAUGGAAUUCCUGGUGUAGCGGUGAAAUGCGCAGAUAUCAGGAAGAACACCCGUGGCGAAGGCGGUUCUCUGGGACGGUACUGACGCUGAGAUGCGAAAGCGUGGGGAGCGAACAGG
rnacentral:rRNA from 1 species